UGAGGCUGGGUCGCGAAUUCCGUCUCCGCAGACCGAGGGGGCGGGCCCCGCUGCGGCGCCAGCUUGUGAGGGUCGCCGGGGUCACCUGGGUCACCUCAGCCCGAGGGUCCUGCAGGCUCCGCGCCUCCUGUCCUGACCCCUGCUGCCCUGUCCUCCGUAGAAAGGCGGCCCCCGUGACGAUAAGAGCUCACGGGAGAAUGCCUGGAACCGCACGAAGAACCUGCGGAACAGUCAGGCCUGAACCCAGGACCUUGCUCCGGGCCCCGCUCGCCGCCGCACCCCCCUCCGCCGUGGCCCUGGACUACCCUCGGGAGGUUCGUAAAUGUCCCUCACCUAAGGACUUUGGGGGCCCUGCCACAAGCCACUCCCGAUCCAGUGAGGAAGGCCCAUUCGACAGCAUCCACUGCGCUCCCACUGGGUGCUGGGCACUGUGCAGGGGCCGGGGGACCAUGGCAGUGCCCACUGGGACCCAGCAGGAAGAGGGACUCGGCCUUCCACGGACUUGACCUUGCCCGUGGAUACCACUCUACUACUACAGCCUGAGGAAGGGAGCUGGUCUCAUGACCUCCCCGCCCCCACACACAACGGCUCCCUCCACCGAUGGGAAGCCACCACACUUCCGGUCCCGGUUCACCCCACUGGACUUCUAGUUCAUAACAGCACUCCCAACCACCUACUCCUUCCCUCCUUAAAAAAGCACGCCUCUCCUUUGUUCCUCA